rnacentral:rRNA from 1 species
AUUGAACGCUGGCGGCAUGCUUUACACAUGCAAGUCGAACGGUAACAGGGAGCUUGCUCCGCUGACGAGUGGCGAACGGGUGAGUAAUGCGUCGGAACGUGCCGAGUAGUGGGGGAUAACGCAGCGAAAGUUGUGCUAAUACCGCAUACGUACUGAGGUAGAAAGUGGGGGACCUUCGGGCCUCACGCUAUUCGAGCGGCCGACGUCUGAUUAGCUAGUAGGUGAGGUAAAGGCUCACCUAGGCGACGAUCAGUAGCGGGUCUGAGAGGAUGGUCCGCCACACUGGGACUGAGAGACGGGCCAGACUCCUACGGGGGGCAGCAGUGGGGAAUUUUGGAAAAUGGGCGAAAGCCUGAUUCAGCCAUGCCGCGUGUCUGAAGAAGGCCUUCGGGUUGUAAAGGACUUUUGUCGGGGAGGAAAUCCCCAGCGCUAAUACCGCUGGGGGAUGACAGUACCUGAAGAAUAAGCACCGGCUAACUACGUGCCAGCAGCCGCGGUAAUAC